UACGUAGGGGGCAAGCGUUGUCCGGAAUCAUUGGGCGUAAAGAGCGCGUAGGCGGUCCAGUAAGUCCGCUCUGAAAGUCCGGGGCUCAACCCCCGGGAGGCGGGCGGAUACUGCUGGGCUAGAGUCCGGAAGAGGCGAGUGGAAUUCCUGGUGUAGCGGUGAAAUGCGCAGAUAUCGGGAAGAACACCCGUGGCGAAGGCGGUUCUCUGGGACGGUACUGACGCUGAGGUGCGAAAGCGUGGGGAGCAAACAGG
rnacentral:rRNA from 1 species